rnacentral:ncRNA from 1 species
CUUAUUGCGAGCGGCGGAGUGAUCAGGCACAGUGAAGCCCGGCAACCGACAAUUAUGUACGGUGCCAAAACCUGCAGACGGCAGUCUGAAUGAUGAGG